ACGAACGCUGGCGGCGUGCUUAACACAUGCCAGUCGAACGGAAAGGCCCUGCUUUUGUGGGGUGCCCGUGUGGCGAACGGGUGAGUAACACGUGAGUAACCUGCCCUUGACUUUGGGAUAACUUCAGGAAACUGGGGCUAAUACCGGAUAGGAGCUCCUGCUGCAUGGUGGGGGUUGGAAAGUUUCGGCGGUUGGGGAUGGACCCGCGGCUUAUUAGCUUGUUGGUGGGGUAGUGGCUUACCAAGGCUUUGACGGGUAGCCGGCCUGAGAGGGUGACCGGCCACAUUGGGACUGAGAUACGGCCCAGACUCCUACGGGAGGCAGCAGUGGGGAAUAUUGCACAAUGGGCGGAAGCCUGAUGCAGCAACGCCGCGUGCGGGAUGACGGCCUUCGGGUUGUAAACCGCUUUCGCCUGUGACGAAGCGUGAGUGACGGUAAUGGGUAAAGAAGCACCGGCUAACUACGUG
rnacentral:rRNA from 1 species